AAGAGUGGUGGGUAGCCAUUUGUGUAGCCAUCUGGGUAGCCAUUUGAUUAGGUGUUCAGGGGUCUUAUGGCUUGGGGGUAGAAGCUGUUUAGAAGCCUCUAACCUAGACAUCCAUGGAGUUCACCAUGUAUUAUUCAUGAACGUGUGCUGUCUUUGCAGGAUUUACCUGCUGGAGAAGGUCUUACCAUCUCUGGUCCCACGUGUGGUGCAGCUCCAGAGGCAGAGCGGAAGGGAGAGACUGAGGGAGAAGAAGGGGAAAGAAGCAGGGGUGAGGAUGAAGAGGGUUCAUCUCCAUUCAUUCCCCUGCUUUAUUAGGGCCAUGCUCGAUAAGGUCCUCCUCCUCCCCCUCUCAUCAUCCACCUCUCAAUUCCAUCCCCCUCCUUUCUGACCGAGAAGAGGCAGAGGCAGCUCGGUACCGCCUGGGGGCUGGAGCUCAACCUGCAACUGCUACAGCAACAGGGAGAAUCGAGAAUUGAAGACGGACGAUUGUACAGCAUUUUCAUCAGGAAGCACUCUAAAGACCAUGAUGGAGGCUGUGAUCUACUGUAUUCUGUCAACAAGAACCCUCCCCCCAACAAAAAAAAAUACACUUGUCUGAGCUGAAGAGGCAGAUGAGGCAGUGCAGGGUGGAGCUGCAGAGGGGAGAGGAGAUCCAGAGGCGUACCGUGGAGAGACGGAGGGAGUGUCUGGCACUACACUUCACUGACUGGAGGCUCCAAGCCGACCACACACUCUCUCUGCACCUGGUAGGAACAGACCACACUUAUAAAGAGAGGAGGGGUUGGCAUAUGAGGAAUACAAGGUAGGGCGUUGUAU